rnacentral:rRNA from 1 species
CCUACGGGAGGCAGCAGUGGGGAAUAUUGGACAAUGGGCGAAAGCCUGAUCCAGCAAUGCCGCGUGAGUGAUGAAGGCCUUCGGGUCGUAAAGCUCUUUUACCAGGGAUGAUAAUGACAGUACCUGGAGAAUAAGCUCCGGCUAACUCCGUGCCAGCAGCCGCGGUAAUACGGAGGGAGCUAGCGUUGUUCGGAAUUACUGGGCGUAAAGAGUACGUAGGCGGUUAUUCAAGUCAGAGGUGAAAGCCCGGGGCUCAACCCCGGAACUGCCUUUGAAACUAGAUAACUAGAGUCUUGGAGAGGUUAGUGGAAUUCCGAGUGUAGAGGUGAAAUUCGUAGAUAUUCGGAAGAACACCAGUGGCGAAGGCGACUAACUGGACAAGUACUGACGCUGAGGUACGAAAGCGUGGGGAGCAAACAGGAUUAGAUACCCUGGUAGUCCACGCCGUAAACGAUGAUAACUAGUUGUUCGGUCACUUGGUGACUGAGUGACGCAGCUACGCAUAGUUAUCGCGUGGAGUACGUCGCAGAUAAACUAACGAAGUAGUAGACGNGNGAGNGCGACGACGACGACGAGAGGAGAG